rnacentral:rRNA from 1 species
GAUGAACGCUGGCGGCGUGCCUAAUACAUGCAAGUCGAGCGAACAGACGAGGAGCUUGCUCCUCUGACGUUAGCGGCGGACGGGUGAGUAACACGUGGAUAACCUACCUAUAAGACUGGGAUAACUUCGGGAAACCGGAGCUAAUACCGGAUAAUAUAUUGAACCGCAUGGUUCAAUAGUGAAAGACGGUUUUGCUGUCACUUAUAGAUGGAUCCGCGCCGCAUUAGCUAGUUGGUAAGGUAACGGCUUACCAAGGCAACGAUGCGUAGCCGACCUGAGAGGGGGAUAGGCAACACUGGAACUGAGACACGGGCCAGACGACUACGGGAGGCAGCAGUAGGGAAUCUUCCGCAAUGGGCGAAAGCCUGACGGAGCAACGCCGCGUGAGUGAUGAAGGUCUUCGGAUCGUAAAACUCUGUUAUUAGGGAAGAACAAAUGUGUAAGUAACUAUGCACGUCUUGACGGUACCUAAUCAGAAAGCCACGGCUAACUACGUG